GGCGCGGACAGACUGUGGCACUUCUCGGUCUCCUUCCUGCUCCCGUGUUUCCAGCCGCGGCCCCUCUCUUCUCCCCCCCAGCACAGAAUCACUGUCCAUUCCAGAGACGUGUUGCUAUCACUCAGACCAUUGAAAGCCACUGCACUGCAAGAUACCCAUGCCUCUUCAAGCUGUGAUACUACUGGAAGGUUGGCUGGAAAGACCAAAUAAUCUUACUGGAAGGCAUUCAUAUGCCAAAUUUACCAUUUGAAGACCAAGAUUGUGACACUUGCAGAAGUAUGUUGGUCAAUAUUUUCCAAGCAGCAGACAAAUGGAGAAAAAUUGUCAAGGGGUACCUUUUCACUUGCUAUCAAGGAGGCAAUUUAUCAAGCAAUGGAAUGGCUCCAGGAUGAUCAAGUGCAUCCAAAACUAAACCUCUGCUAUUGGGCAUGGAUGUGUCUUGGAGAACGUACUGAUUUCACCAGUUAUAUAUGAAAUACUAUUCACUCCUACAUCAGUCCCACAAUGCUUGUGCCAAAGACCAGAUGCUCACCUUUCCAGCAGCCUGCCUUAUUGGAGAUGUGUGAGUGUGGGAUGGAUAAGGAGCAGUGUGACAUGUCUAACAGUGGUGCCCUUGAGAGAGAGGACACUGAUAUUCAUUUAUUUGAUCUUGUCUUUAGAUGAUACUCUCAGCACCUUUCCUAGACCUGAAGAGGUCUGUGUAAGUUCAAAAGCUUGUCUCUCUUACCAGCAGAAAUUGGUCCAAUAGAAGAUAUUACCACACCCACCUUGUGUCUCUAAUAUCCUCGGACUGACAUGGCUACAUCAUAGCCUUGACAUGUAGAAGUUAAUGCAAACCUCCCUAGGAUUAUCAAAGAUCAGUGGUUUUUUUUUUUUUUUUAAUAUAAGCAAUGCAUCCCUGUGUUAAACUAUAAUUAAAAACAGUUUAUUUUAAAACAUUUUCUCAAAUAUAUAUCUACAUAAUUGA